AGCGCUGUGUGUUAAUCCGGCACAACGGUUGGACCAGGUUGUUGCCGAAUUAAUUCCAAUGAAAAGAAAUGAACAAGAAUUACCUUUGAUUUGACCCGGAACACGGUGGCUGGAAAAACGUCCUCUUGGAUUCACUCUCGGAAAACAAGUAAAUGACCGGUUUAAAUUUAUUCUUACUGUAGCCUGUCGAACUGUAUAUUUACCGAAGGGACAUUUUAGCAUAAGUAACAUAGUGGUAAACAGUUCGACAGUUGACAUAAUAA